GGAUGUGAGGGCGAUCUGGCUGCGACAUCUGUCACCCCAUUGAUCGCCAGGGUUGAUUCGGCUGAUCUGGCUGGCUAGGCGGAUGUCCCCUUCCUCCCUCACCGCUCCAUGUGCGUCCCUCCCGAAGCUGCGUGCUCGGUCGAAGAGGACGACCUUCCCGGAAUAGAGGAGGACCGGUCUUCGGUCAAGGGUAUACAAGUAGCUGCGCUCCCCUGCUAGAACCUCCAAACAAGCUCUCAAAAAGUAUCCCAUGGUAAUACCCUCC
rnacentral:snRNA from 1 species